rnacentral:snRNA from 1 species
AUCCGAGUGCAAGGGCWYUACGCGUAUCAGUGARGAUUCGUYCGAGAUCGUGUUUUUGCUAGUUGAAAACUAUACACAGACCACUUCUGGCUGGCUUCGGCUGGCCAGGCAAUUUUUGAAAACCCUCGCCUUUUGCUUUCAUUGCUUGCGGUCCCUGGCUGGAUCGUGGUGAAGAAGG